GGACCAUCUGCAAAGCUCAUUGCAUGUCCAACAGAGAAAAGGGUUGUGGUGAUGGGUACCGUUGGCAUGCCAGGAGACAGGAACAAGUCCCCAAAUCCCUGGCUGUGAAGUUUACAUGCAGAAAGCCUCUCCUUCCCCUCUUGCUCAGCGGAGCUUACUUGUAGCUGUCAGCCAGCCCGCAGGAUACCUUGUAGCCCCCGAGCUGGGAGCCUGCUUGCUUUCCAGCCACUGCCUGCCCUCCAGCACGCCUGCCGCGGUGCCCCAGCAGCCUUUACUCCCACCUGUCCCACCAGGAGCACGGCUCCACGCCGCUGCCACAUGGCUGCAGGCAGUUCUGCUCUUAAGGACACACCUCAUUCUCCAAGCAGAGGAUAGCUGAGUUCCUGUGCCUC
rnacentral:lncRNA from 1 species